rnacentral:rRNA from 1 species
UACGGAGGGUGCGAGCGUUGUCCGGAAUCAUUGGGCGUAAAGGGCGCGUAGGCGGCCGUCCCAAGCGUGCGGUGAAAGUCGGGGGCUCGAACCCCUGACUCGGCCGUGCGAACUGGGGGCUGGAGCACUGUAGAGGCAGGCGGAAUUCCGGGUGGUGGCGGUGAAAUGACGUAGAGUAUCGAGAGGAACACCAGAGGCGGAAGGCGGCCUACUGGGCUGCACCUGACGCUGAGCCGCGAAAGCCAGGGGAGCGAACGGG